rnacentral:rRNA from 1 species
CCUACGGGAGGCAGCAGUGGGGAAUAUUGGGCAAUGGGCGCAAGCCUGACCCAGCAACGCCGCGUGAAGGAAGAAGGCUUUCGGGUUGUAAACCUCUUUUAAGAUGGAAGAGCAGAAGACGGUACCUCUUGAAUAAGCCACGGCUAACUACGUGCAAGCAGCCGCGGUAAUACUUAGGUGGCAAGCGUUGUCCGGAUGUACUGGGUGUAAAGGGCGUGCAGGCGGGAAGACAAGUCAGAUGUGAAAGCCGGCGGCUCAACCGCGGAACUGCAUUUGAAACUGGUUUUCUUGAGUACAGGAGAGGGAACCGGAAUUCCUUGUGUAGCGGUGAAAUGCGUAGAUAUAAGGAGGAACACCAGUGGCGAAGGCGGAUGACUGGACGGCAACUGACGGUGAGGCGCGAAAGCGUGGGGAGCAAACAGGAUUAGAUACCCGUGUAGUC